rnacentral:rRNA from 1 species
UACGGAGGGUGCGAGCGUUGUCCGGAUUUAUUGGGUUUAAAGGGUGCGUAGGCGGCCGGGUAAGUCUGGGGUGAAAGCCCGCUGCUCAACAGCGGAACUGCCCUGGAUACUGCCGGGCUUGAGGACAGACGAGGUUGGCGGAAUGGAGGGUGUAGCGGUGAAAUGCAUAGAUACCCUCCAGAACCCCGAUUGCGAAGGCAGCUGACUAGACUGUAACUGACGCUGAGGCACGAAAGCGUGGGGAGCGAACAGG